AACGAACGCUGGCGGCAGGCCUAACACAUGCAAGUCGAACGCCCUAGCAAUAGGGAGUGGCAGACGGGUGAGUAACACGUGGGAACGUGCCCUUCGGUUCGGAAUAACUCAGGGAAACUUGAGCUAAUACCGGAUACGUGCGAGAGCAGAAAGAUUUAUCGCCGAAGGAUCGGCCCGCGUCCGAUUAGCUAGUUGGUGAGGUAAUGGCUCACCAAGGCGACGAUCGGUAGCUGGUCUGAGAGGAUGACCGGCCACACUGGGACUGAGACACGGCCCAGACUCCUACGGGAGGCAGCAGUGGGGAAUAUUGGACAAUGGGCGCAAGCCUGAUCCAGCCAUGCCGCGUGAGUGAUGAAGGCCCUAGGGUUGUAAAGCUCUUUCGCCAGGGACGAUAAUGACGGUACCUGGAUAAGAAGCCCCGGCUAACUCCGUGCCAGCAGCCGCCGUAA
rnacentral:rRNA from 1 species